rnacentral:rRNA from 1 species
UGCCUCAGUAACGGCGAGUGAAGCGGCAACAGCUCAAAUUUGAAAUCUGGCACCCGCCCGAAUUGUAAUUUGCAGAGGAUGCUUCUAGGUCGCGGCCGGUCUAAGUUCCUUGGAACAGGACGUCACAGAGGGUGAGAAUCCCGUAUGUGAUCGGCUAGCACCUAUCACGUAGCUCCUUCGACGAGUCGAGUUGUUUGGGAAUGCAGCUCUAAAUGGGAGGUAAAUUUCUUCUAAAGCUAAAUACCGGCCAGAGACCGAUAGCGCACAAGUAGAGUGAUCGAAAGAUGAAAAGCACUUUGGAAAGAGAGUUAAAAAGCACGUGAAAUUGUUGAAAGGGAAGCGCAUGCUACCAGACUUGUCGGCGGUGUUCCGCCGGUCUUCUGACCGGUCUACUCGCCGCCGGCAGGCCAACAUCAUCUGGGAGCGCCGGAGAAAGGCGUCGGGAACGUAGCUCCUCGGAGUGUUAUAGCCCGGCGCACAAUACGGCGACCCCCGGGUGAGGUCCGCGCUUCGGCUUGGAUGUUGGCGUAAUGGUCGUUUGCGGCCCGUCUUGAAACACGGACCAAGGAGUCUACCAUCUAUGCGAGUGUUCGGGUGUCAAACCCCUACGCGCAAUGAAAGUGAACGGAGGUGGGAACGCAAGUGCACCAUCGACCGAUCCUGAUGUCCUCGGAUGGAUUUGAGUAAGAGCAUAGCUGGUGGGACCCGAAAGAUGGUGAACUAUGCCUGAAUAGGGUGAAGCCAGAGGAAACUCUGGUGGAGGCUCGCAGCGGUUCUGACGUGCAAAUCGAUCGUCAAAUUUGGGUAUAGGGGCGAAAGACUAAUCGAACCAUAAACCUAUUACUAGGUGGUUAAGAAUCACGAGAGAUUUAGGCCCCGAUCGGGGUCGACACCGUCAAAUUGCGGGGAGCCACUGAGGCCCGCCACUGCCGCUGGCGCCGGAAACGGUCGGUCAGCAGGGCGACCCAAACGGGUCCCCCCGGGGGCAGGGCGGGAUUGUGUGAUCCGCAGCCAAGUCCUACCGGUCCACACCCCCCGUGGACCACGGACGCCGUUCACAGACU